rnacentral:sRNA from 1 species
AAGUAAGCCUUAGUAUUUCUUCGUAAUGUUGUUAUUCUCAGUGUUUCCCUUAGCUUUGUAGUCACAUUUAAUAAUUCAAGCUCUAAGCGCAUCGCAUUAUGCGAUUUUUUAUGAAUUUAAAUAUAUAAGGGACAUCACAUGUCUAAAACAACUGGUAUCGUUAAAUGGUUUAACGAAGAGAAAGGUUUCGGUUUUAUCACUCAAGAUAACGGCGGCGCUGACGUAUUCGUACAUUUCCGUGCUAUCGCUUCAGAGGGUUUCAAAACUCUUGCUGAAGGCCAAAAAGUUUCUUUUGAAGUUGAGCAAGGCCAAAAAGGCCCACAAGCUGCGAACGUUGUAGCUGCUUAAUUUCAAAUAAGUUGCGC